UGCAGAAUCCCGUGAACCAUCGAGUAUUUGAACGCAAGUUGCGCCCGAGGCCACCUGGCCGAGGGCACGCCUGCCUGGGCGUCACGCUAAAACACGCUCUUACCCACUAUGUGGGGUGAAAGACGCGGCAUCUGGUCCCCCGUACCGUUGGUUGCGGUAGGCCGAAGAUUUGGCUGCCGGCGUACCGAGCCGGGCACAGCGCGUGGUGGGCAUACUUGCUUAUACUCUGCGCAGUGCAUCCGGCUUGUAGCCAGCAGAGUGGCCUAAAGACCCAGCGCACGGAGUGCUAGCCGCUCCGACCGCGACCCCAGGUCAGACGGGACUACCCGCUGAGUUUAAGCAUAUAAAUAAGCGGAGGAGAAGAAACUUACAAGGAUUCCCCUAGUAACGGCGAGCGAACCGGGAGUAGCCCAGCUUGAGAAUCGGGCGGCCGUGCUGUCCGA
rnacentral:rRNA from 1 species